GUCCGCACGGUAAACGAUGGAUGCCCGCUGUUGACCCACCUGGGCCAGCGGCCAAGCGAAAGCAUUAAGCAUCCCACCUGGGGAGUACGCCGGCAACGGUGAAACUCAAAGGAAUUGACGGGGGCCCCGCACAAGCGGAGGAACAUGUGGUUUAAUUCGAUGAUACGCGAGGAACCUUACCCGGGCUUGAAUUGCAGAGGAAUUUACCAGAGAUGGUAAACGCCUCGGGUCGUCUGUGAAGGUGCUGCAUGGUUGUCGU
rnacentral:rRNA from 1 species